rnacentral:rRNA from 1 species
UACGUAGGGGGCAAGCGUUGUCCGGAUUUAUUGGGCGUAAAGAGCGUGUAGGCGGCCAGGCAGGUCCGUUGUGAAAACUCGAGGCUCAACCUCGAGACGCCGAUGGAAACCAUCUGGCUAGAGUCCGGAAGAGGAGAGUGGAAUUCCUGGUGUAGCAGUGAAAUGCGUAGAUAUCAGGAGGAAUACCGAUGGCGAAGGCAGGUCUCUGGGCUGACACUGACGCUCAUGCACGAAAGCGUGGGGAGCAAACAGG